rfam:Monodelphis domestica chromosome X, whole genome shotgun sequence.
CUUUGUAUAAGAUGCUCCAUUGUGUAAAUACCAUCAAAUAGAGCAUGCUUGUACAAAGAA